rnacentral:rRNA from 1 species
UACAGAGGUGGCAAGCGUUGCUCGGUAUCACUGGGCUUAAAGGGCGCGUAGGCGGUGCGGUGCGGUUUCGGUGAAAUCCCUCGGCCCAACCGAGGAACAGCCGGGGCUACGGCCGUGCUAGACGGCAUCAGGGGACAGUGGAACUCCCGGUGGAGCGGUGAAAUGCGUAGAUAUCGGAAGGAACAUCAGUGGCGAAAGCGGCUUCCUGGACCAGUACCGACGUUCAGGCACGAAAGCGUGGGGAGCAAACAGG